rnacentral:misc_RNA from 1 species
CUUAGAGACAAAAAGAAUCCAUUACCCCUGCCCUGAGAUUAUUGAGCCAAUGUAAAAUAUCAACAUAGGGCCUAAAUAAGACAACAGAAGUAAAAGUACAAAUUAAAAAGGAAGAUAUCUUUCCAUGGGGAUCUAAUAGAAUCUAAGAUGAGAUCUUGAACCAGAAGCCAAAUUAAAGCAAGCAGAGCAGCUCAAAAUUAUUUGUAAAUUUCAUAGUUUAAUAGAAAAAACCUGGAUUAGAGCUAAUUGAAAGUUAAGGGUUAUGGAAGAGCAUCCUAGAGUCUAAGGGUUUCAAGUUAAGUAAAACAAAAUACAUCAUACAUGCAUUGCAACUUUAGCAAUAGAAGGGGUAAUGAUUUGCUUAGAUCACAAAGUACACAUUUCAGCUAUCUAGGCUCCAUCAUGCUUCCAUCAUACAGAAGA